GGGCGCGUAGCUCAGCGGCAGAGCGCCUCGUUGACAUCGAGGAGGUCGGUGGUUCAAAUCCACCCGCGCCCA
rnacentral:tRNA from 1 species